CUGUUUACUGCUGAGAUUGAUCGGAAUCAGACACGUGGGACGGCCGAGUGUUUCCCCCAUAUAUUGAAGACGCCCAGCUCACAGCAGAGGACAGAAGACUGAGACUAGAGGUAGGACCAAGACUCCAGAAAUUCGUUGCUUGUCUGGUUUCGAGUUGGAAAAAUGUCACAAAAUACUAACUGCGGAGUUGGGCCCAACAGUAACCAGGGCACCAUGAGUGGCAACACCAUUAACCCGGUAAACAGUGGAACCAUUGGAUCAGGGAAUACCAUAAACACUGGACAGCAAGGCCACGUGGGAAUUGGAAACGUGACAGAUAUUAAUGUCGGAACCAACACAGGACUCAUUGGUUCAGGAUGCAAUGCGAUCAACAAAUGAGAAAUCUGCCCUCCGACAGAGUAACUCAAAUGUUGUUCACAAAGUAUUAAAGAUGGAGGUCAUCAUUGAUUUGAGAAGUAUUGAUGAUAAUAAAAACAACAUAUAAUAUCUGAA